rnacentral:rRNA from 1 species
GACGAACGCUGGCGGCGUGCUUAACACAUGCGAGUCGAACGGUGAAGCGCCUUCCUUUUUGGUGUGUGGGGAUGAGUGGCGAACGGGUGAGUAACACGUUAGUAACCUGCCCCCUUCUUCUGGAUAACCGCAUGAAAGUGUGGCUAAUACGGGAUAUUCUGGGUCUGUCGCAUGAUGGGUCUGGGAAAGAUAUUGUUUCGGUGGGGGAUGGGCUCGCGUCCUAUCAGGUUGUUGGUGGGGUGAUGGCCUACCAAGGCGGUGCCGGGUAGCCGGCCUGAGAGGGUGGACGGCAACACUGGGAAGGAGACACGGCCAAGACUCCUACGGGAGGCAGCAGUGGAGAUUAGUGCACAAUGGGAGCAAGCAUGAUGCAGCGACGCCGCGUGAGGGAUGGAGGCCUUCGGGUUGUGAACCUCUUUCGCCAGUGAAGCAGGCCUGCCUCGUUUGUGGGUGGGUUGACGGUAGCUGGAUAAGAAGCGCCGGCUAACUACGUG